rnacentral:rRNA from 1 species
UACGGAGGGUGCAAGCGUUAUCCGGAUUCACUGGGUUUAAAGGGUGCGUAGGUGGGCAGGUAAGUCAGUGGUGAAAUCUCCGGGCUUAACCCGGAAACUGCCAUUGAUACUAUCUGUCUUGAAUACCGUGGAGGUGAGCGGAAUAUGUCAUGUAGCGGUGAAAUGCUUAGAUAUGACAUAGAACACCCAUUGCGAAGGCAGCUUGCUACACAAUGAUUGACGCUGAGGCACGAAAGCGUGGGGAUCAAACAGG